UUAUAUCCAAAUGACCCCAAAAUCUCAUCUUCUCGCAGAGGUGUUGGAUUCUGGGAGCUCAUCACUGACUUGCUGUUGGAAGGUGGGAGCUUGUAAGAAGAGGAAGAGAAUGUGGUCUCCAGGACAUGUUGAGGAUGGAAUUCCUAGCCAUGUACCUUACAGUACCUUUGUCCCACCACAGACAAUGGACGCAGAGAAAAUGGACUUAGGCAGACACAGCUGGAGUCCUCUUUUGGGAACCUGAGAUCCAAAAAAUAAGAAAAUAAAAAGAUACACUGAAAUAUGCAAGCAGAUCUGAGACUUUCUGAUGCUGGUGUUGAAAACAGAAUUUCCGGGCCGGGGAUUUAGCUCAACGUCAAAAGCUCCUGCCUGGCAAGCGCAAGGUCGUGAGUUCGGUUCCCGGUACAGGAGAAAAACCAAAAAAAAAAAAAAAAAAAAAAAAAAGAAAACAGAAUUUCCAAAAAUUUCUGUCAUUGGCUUACUCAGAUACAUUUCUGGCUAAUUCUCUUUCCAGGAUCUGUAUCUAAAUCUAUUCACAUAAAAUAUUAAUUUGGCUCUGUUUAAUCUCCAUGUGCUGCAUAACCUCAUUCAAAUUAGAUUUCUCUCAUGUAUGACAUGGUUAAUUCUGGGUGGCAAACCAUCAGCAGAAGUGAGCACUGUGACUUCAGUGCUGAGGCAGUUAAAAU
rnacentral:lncRNA from 1 species